AGUGAACGCUGGCGGUAGGCCUAACACAUGCAAGUCGAACGGCAGCACAGUAAGAGCUUGCUCUUACGAGUGGCGAGUGGCGGACGGGUGAGGAAUAAAUCGGAAUCUACUUUUUCGUGGGGGAUAACGUAGGGAAACUUACGCUAAUACCGCAUACGACCUACGGGUGAAAGCAGGGGAUCUUCGGACCUUGCGCGAUUGAAUGAGCCGAUGUCGGAUUAGCUAGUUGGCGGGGUAAAGGCCCACCAAGGCGACGAUCCGUAGCUGGUCUGAGAGGAUGAUCAGCCACACUGGAACUGAGACACGGUCCAGACUCCUACGGGAGGCAGCAGUGGGGAAUAUUGGACAAUGGGCGCAAGCCUGAUCCAGCCAUACCGCGUGGGUGAAGAAGGCCUUCGGGUUGUAAAGCCCUUUUGUUGGGAAAGAAAAGCAGCAGGUUAAUACCCCGCUGUUCUGACGGUACCCAAAGAAUAAGCACCGGCUAACUUCGUG
rnacentral:rRNA from 1 species